GGGCCAGGUGCUGCAUGCAGUGCUCGGGAGGCAACAAAGAAUAGACUACCUGCUGUAGGGCUGACAGUCCGGUGGGAAGGCAAGAAGUCAUCAGAUAAUCACCCCCAGUAAAGCCACAGCCUACAGAGCAGCAUGGAGUAGUCACCAGCACCUUACCUGCCUCCACAGGGAGGUUCCCACAGUCGAGGGAAAAGGGCCCUUGAGGGGGUAAAGCUUGAACGUGUUUUAAAGUGAGAGGUUAACUGGUGAAGGGGGGAGGGCGUUGAAAGCAGUGUGCAGAGACCCAACAGCCUGUGUAAAAGUCCUAGUGGGGAGGACGUGGUGAGGAAGCACAGGGGCUAAAAAAUACCACUCAGGUUCACACAACAUGGCCUGGAGUAAGGCUGGAGAACUUUAGAAUUUGACAGGAAUUAAGGGCUGCCUCCCCUUCCUGGGCUGUGGUCCUAGUUAAAUUAGUUUUACUUCAAUGCAGAAGUUUUAUGAUUAAACAAAGGUUUGUUGGCUUAUACUUCUCAUCACAAAGGUGAUAAGGAACAUGAGCUGUGAAAAGAGGUCAGGAGCAGCGCUUAAGCACGAGUCUUUUGCUAUCUGAAUAUUCACAGACCUCUAGACUCAAGUUCAUGGUAGGAAUCAGACACACCCAAUAGGCCCCAGGUGUGGUAAGAGGACCUUGUCAGAGUGGGGAGCCACACCUCGUUAUUUCUUUUGGGGCUUCACUGAUUUGAGGCAGAUUUAGUGGCAACACCCAUCACAACCCACAUAGAGCUAUAGAAGGCACAUCUAGACUCAAUGGAAGCAGGCAGCCAGGCCUUGGCCUUCACAGGCGAAGGGGCCUUUUUUUUUUUUGGUACUUAAAUUCCUGAUAAACAUAUAGAAUGUCAUGGUAAGCUUUGUCAUCACCUGUGUUUGAAAGUUAUCACCGUCCAUCUCCUGAGAGGCUAUGAAGAUUAAAAUUUCUACAUGUGAUAGGUUAACAUUUCUAGGAAAGGGACAGCUAUCAAUAUUACUGUCUUAAUAGCCAUAAAUGAAUUCUACCCCCUAUCCUAAGACAAGGUCAUUACAUGGGAAUGACAGAGUCUUCUCCCAAUUCCUAUGUGGGAGCCAGAGGGAGCGAGGACAAAACCUGAGACCCUACACAAACAGUAGGAAGCUACUGAAGGUCUUUCGCAGGGUGAGAGGAAAGAUGCGCAUCCUGAGGCAAGCUUUCUGAUUGAGUGGUAGAGGACAUGGGAGAAUGGUCAUUGCAGAUGUAGUGAAGCCACUGAGAGGCUAUUGCCAGAGUCCAUCUGAGUUUGGACUAGGGUGGGGAUAGUGGAUUUAGAAGUAGA
rnacentral:lncRNA from 1 species